rnacentral:sRNA from 1 species
UACGUCUGUAGCUUAGAGAGGAUGAGAAGCUCCGGGGCAGGGAGGUUUGAGCCGAGCGCAGCGAGACAACGUUGCUCAUGCAACGGCCCGCAGGGCGUGUUUUGUAAAAAAGCCAUCCUCUCUCGCCGACCA